CCUACGGGUGGCAGCAGUGGGGAAUUUUGGACAAUGGGGGAAACCCUGAUCCAGCCAUUCCGCGUGAGUGAAGAAGGCCUUCGGGUUGUAAAGCUCUUUCGGCGGGAACGAAACGGCGGACUCUAACAUAGUCUGUCAAUGACGGUACCUGAAGAAGAAGCACCGGCUAACUACGUGCCAGCAGCCGCGGUAAUACGUAGGGUGCGAGCGUUAAUCGGAAUUACUGGGCGUAAAGCGUGCGCAGGCGGCUUUGUAAGACGGAUGUAAAAUCCCUGGGCUUAACCGAGGAACUGCGUUCGUGACUGCAAAGCUAGAGUGCGGCAGAGGGGGGUGGAAUUCCUGGUGUAGCAGUGAAAUGCGUAGAGAUCAGGAGGAACACCGAUGGCGAAGGCAGCUCUCUGGACGGUCACUGACGCUGAGGGACGAAAGCCAGGGGAGCAAACGGGAUUAGAUCCCCCUGUAGU
rnacentral:rRNA from 1 species